UCCCUGGUGAUCCAGUGGCUAAGACUUCACACUCCCAAUGCAGGGGGCCCAGGUUUGAUUCCUGGUCAGGGAA
rnacentral:tRNA from 1 species